rnacentral:antisense_RNA from 1 species
CAUAUCCGAUGAUUACAACAGGGUUUAAAGUAGGAUUAUCGAUAAUACGUACAUCUCCACCACCUGGAGCCCACGUAUCAUAUAAACCACCUACAUAAAGAGCUUUAAUUACUAAUAAUAAAGCUCCAAAUCCUAGGAUUACUAAAUGAAUACCUAGAAUCGUAGUAAUUUUAUUCUUAUCACGCCA